GUCCCUUUCCGAACCCGGAAGCUAAGCCCGAUUGCGCUGAUGGUACUGCACCUGGGAGGGUGUGGGAGAGUAGGUCGCCGCCAACC
rnacentral:rRNA from 3 species